UAGCUGUCCUCUAGCUGUCCUCUAGGUAUCCUCUAGCUGUCCUCUAGGUAUCCUCUAGCUGUCCUCUAGGUAUCCUCUAGGUAUCUUCUAGCUGUCCUCUAGGUACCUCUAGCUGUCCUCUAGCUAUCCUCUAGCUGUACCUCUAGCUUCCUCUGCUGUUCCUCUAG